rnacentral:rRNA from 1 species
GAUGAACGCUAGCUACAGGCUUAACACAUGCAAGUCGAGGGGAAACGACAUCGAAAGCUUGCUUUUGAUGGGCGUCGACCGGCGCACGGGUGAGUAACGCGUAUCCAACCUGCCCAUCACUUGGGAAUAACCUUGCGAAAGUAAGACUAAUACCCAAUGAUAUCCCACGAAGGCAUCGGAAUGGGAUUCAAUAUUUAUCGGUGAUGGAUGGGGAUGCGUCUGAUUAGCUUGUUGGCAGGGUAACGGCCCACCAAGGCAACGAUCAGUAGGGGUUCUGAGAGGAAGGUCCCCCAGAUUGGAACUGAGACACGGUCCAAACUCGUACGGGAGGCAGCAGUGAGGAAUAUUGGGCAAGGGGCGAGAGCCUGAACCAGCCAAGUAGCGGGCAGGAAGACGGCCCUAUGGGUUGUAAACUGCUUUUAUAAGGGAAUAAAGUGGGUCACGUGUGACUUUUUGCAUGUACCGUAUGAAUAAGGACCGGCUAAUUCCGG